rnacentral:rRNA from 1 species
CUUUUGUCUGGCGACCGGCGCACGGGUGAGUAACACGUAUCCAACCUGCCGAUAACUCGGGGAUAGCCUUUCGAAAGAAAGAUUAAUACCCGAUGGUAUAAUCAGACCGCAUGGUUUGAUUAUUAAAGAAUUUCGGUUAUCGAUGGGGAUGCGUUCCAUUAGGCAGUUGGUGAGGUAACGGCUCACCAAACCUUCGAUGGAUAGGGGUUCUGAGAGGAAGGUCCCCCACAUUGGAACUGAGACACGGUCCAA